rnacentral:rRNA from 2 species
AAAAAGUGCGUCGUAGUCCGGAUUGGAGUCUGCAACUCGACUCCAUGAAGUCGGAAUCGCUAGUAAUCGUGAAUCAGAAUGUCACGGUGAAUACGUUCCCGGGCCUUGUACACACCGCCCGUCACACCAUGGGAGUGGGCUGCAAAAGAAGUGGGUAGUUUAACCUUUCGGGGAGGACGCUCACCACUUUGUGGUUCAUGACUGGGGUGAAGUCGUAACAAGGUAGCCCUAGGGGAACCUGGGGCUGGAUCACCUCCUUAUACGAAGAUA